UACGGGGGGGGGCAAGCGUUGUUCGGAAUUACUGGGCGUAAAGGGCGCGUAGGCGGCCAGCGCAAGUCAGUUGUGAAAUCUCCGGGCUUAACUCGGAAAGGUCAACUGAUACUGCGCGGCUAGAGUGCGGAAGGGGCAACUGGAAUUCUCGGUGUAGCGGUGAAAUGCGUAGAUAUCGUAAGGAAGACCAGUGGCGAAGGCGGGUCUCUGGACAGUUCCUGACGGUGAGGCACGAAGGUCAGGGGAGCAAACGGG
rnacentral:rRNA from 1 species